rnacentral:lncRNA from 10 species
CUUGCCUGUGUGUGAGCUCAGUCUCUCCACUCUUCCUAAGACACUCCUCUUUUGUGACGUGAAAGAAACUAAAUGACAAGCCACCGAAACUCCAAUUAAGGAUAAAAUGAUACAAGGCACAGGUGACGGCUCCUGGGACUUGCAUAUUUCUGCACAAUUACAUCACAGAUGUGUACAAAUGAAGCUAUCUUAUUUCUCUAGGACCAAAAUUAGUAAUUCUAAAGACCCAUUUCUACUGAUGGUGGAAAAACUCUUCAUUUUGUCCCUUUCAGGGAAACUUGGCUACCUCUAGUAUAAUAUAAUCCUUUUUCAGGAAUAAUCCACUCAGGAUUCCAAACAGAAGUCCACGUACCCAUGGGAGUUCACCCAUGUAUCCUAAGGGGUCUGCUGAUUCUUUCCAGAUUUUUCAUCUCCAUGGGCUGUUACUUGAUUUCAGAGGCUGAUUUUAUGUUUAUGUUUAGGCUGACUUUGGCACUAAGUCCUUCUACUUUAAUUGUUUCUGACUAAUGAGAAGAAAAGCAGACCUAAUACAUAAUUGAUGCAUCUCCACCGAGCAAUAGCCAAAUGGUAUGCCAGCACACUGUACAAAGAAAGACUUCCUACUAGAUCACAAAGCAGAGUCCUGAACAGCAUCUAGCAGGACGCAUGGGCUGAAAUUAGGAGUGUGGCUCCAUGGGUAGUACCGUAACAUUUUAAAAUGAAAAACAUCAUCUGUCACACUAAAUUCAGGUUGUUAACUUGAAUAUUAUUUGUUUUCAAUUAUGUUAGCUUUAUGUUGUAAAUAAACUAUAAGCAUACGGAGGUGUAUCUUAUAUUUUAUGUAUCAAAGUACACAUAUACAAUGAUUGUAAAUUUAAAUAAAAAUAAUAAAA